rnacentral:rRNA from 1 species
ACGAACGCUGGCGGCGUGCUUCACACCUGCAAGUCGCACGGGAAGGCCCUGCUUUUGUGGGGUGCUCGAGUGGCGAACGGGUGAGUAACACGUGAGUAACCUGCCCUUGACUUUGGGAUAACUUCAGGAAACUGGGGCUAAUACCGGAUAGGAGCUCCUGCUGCAUGGUGGGGGUUGGAAAGUUUCGGCGGUUGGGGAUGGACUCGCGGCUUAUCAGCUUGUUGGUGGGGUAGUGGCUUACCAAGGCUUUGACGGGUAGCCGGCCUGAGAGGGUGACCGGCCACAUUGGGACUGAGAUACGGCCCAGACUCCUACGGGAGGCAGCAGUGGGGAAUAUUGCACAAUGGGCGGAAGCCUGAUGCAGCAACGCCGCGUGCGGGAUGACGGCCUUCGGGUUGUAAACCGCUUUCGCCUGUGACGAAGCGUGAGUGACGGUAAUGGGUAAAGAAGCACCGGCUAACUACGUG